UCAGCCCCAAGGUCAGCGGGGUCAGCCCCAAGGUCAGCGGGGUCAGUCCUGAGGUCAGUGUGGUCAGUCCUGAGGUCAGUGGGGUCAGCCCCAAGGUCAGCGGGGUCAGCCCCAAGGUCAGUGGGGUCAGCUCCAAGGUCAGUGGGGUCAGCCCCAAGGUCAGCGGGGUCAGCCCCAAGGUGAGUGGGGUCAGUCCUGAGGUCGCCCACACAGAGCCCUGCUCAGCAGCCCAGACAAGGCCGGACGCCCAGCCCUGUGCCCGCCCUGGGGCUCAGGUCACCCCGGGGCCACCGCUCAGCCGCGGUGUCCAGGCCACAGGGACCCGGGGCAGCCCCAGAUCCCAGGUCCCCAC